rnacentral:rRNA from 1 species
GCUUCUCUGAUGUUAGCGGCGGACGGGUGAGUAACACGUGGAUAACCUACCUAUAAGACUGGGAUAACUUCGGGAAACCGGAGCUAAUACCGGAUAAUAUUUUGAACCGCAUGGUUCAAAAGUGAAAGACGGUCUUGCUGUCACUUAUAGAUGGAUCCGCGCUGCAUUAGCUAGUUGGUAAGGUAACGGCUUACCAAGGCAACGAUGCAUAGCCGACCUGAGAGGGUGAUCGGCCACACUGGAACUGAGACACGGUCCAGACUCCUACGGGAGGCAGCAGUAGGGAAUCUUCCGCAAUGGGCGAAAGCCUGACGGAGCAACGCCGCGUGAGUGAUGAAGGUCUUCGGAUCGUAAAACUCUGUUAUUAGGGAAGAACAUAUGUGUAAGUAACUGUGCACAUCUUGACGGUACCUAAUCAGAAAGCCACGGCUAACUACGUGCCAGCAGCCGCGGUAAUACGUAGGUGGCAAGCGUUAUCCGGAAUUAUUGGGCGUAAAGCGCGC